rnacentral:rRNA from 1 species
AGAUCGGAAGCGAGAAUGUUGACAUGAGUAGCGACAAACAGGGUGAGAGACCCUGUCGCCGAAAGUCCAAGGGUUCCUGCUUAAAGCUAAUCUGAGCAGGGUAAGCCGGCCCCUAAGGCGAGGCCGAAAGGCGUAGUCGAUGGGAACCAGGUUAAUAUUCCUGGGCCAGGAGGAUGUGACGGAUCUCGACGGUAGUUUGCCCUUAUCGGAUUGGGUGAGCUGCUUAGAGGUUCCUGGAAAUAGCCCUCCACAAGACCGUACCCCAAACCGACACAGGUGGACUGGUAGAGAAUACCAAGGCGCUUGAGAGAACCACAUCAAAGGAACUCGGCAAAAUGCUCCCGUAAGUUCGCGAGAAGGGAGCCCCGUCUGUAGGCAACUAUGGGCGGGGGGCACAAACCAGGGGGUGGCGACUGUUUACUUAAAACACAGGGCUGUGCGAAGCCGUAAGGCGACGUAUACAGUCUGACGCCUGCCCGGUGCUGGAAGGUUAAAAGGAGGGGUGCAGCUCUGAAUUGAAGCCCCAGUAAACGGCGGUCGUAACAAUAACGGUCCUAAGGUAGCGAAAUUCCUUGUCGGGUAAGUUCCGACCUGCACGAAUGGCGUAACGAUCUCCCCGCUGUCUCUGAUGUGGACUCAGCGAAAUUGAACUGUGUGUCAAGAUGCACACUUCCCGCGGUUAGACGGAAAGACCCCAUGAACCUUUACUCCAGCUUUGCACUGGCAUCAGGAUUGUGAUGUGCAGGAUAGGUGGUAGGCAUCGAAGCAGAGACGCCAGUUUCUGUGGAGCCUCCCUUGAGAUACCACCCUUCGCACUCUUGAUGUCUAACCGCGGCCCGUUAUCCGGGUCCGGGACCAUGCAUGGUGGGGAGUUUGACUGGGGCGGUCGCCUCCCAAACAGUAACGGAGGCGCGCGAAGGUUGGCUCAGAGCGGUCGGAAAUCGCUCGUUGAGUGCAAUGGCAGAAGCCAGCCUGACUGCAAGACUGACAAGUCGAGCAGAGACGAAAGUCGGCCAUAGUGAUCCGGUGGUCCCAAGUGGGAGGGCCAUCGCUCAACGGAUAAAAGGUACUCUGGGGAUAACAGGCUGAUGAUGCCCAAGAGUCCAUAUCGACGGCAUCGUUUGGCACCUCGAUGUCGGCUCAUCUCAUCCUGGGGCUGGAGCAGGUCCCAAGGGUAUGGCUGUUCGCCAUUUAAAGAGGUACGUGAGCUGGGUUUAGAACGUCGUGAGACAGUUCGGUCCCUAUCUGCCGUGGGUGUAGGAGACUUGAGAAGAGUUGCCCCUAGUACGAGAGGACCGGGGUGAACGUUCCACUGGUGGACCAGUUGUCGUGCCAACGGCAGUGCUGGGUAGCUAUGAACGGACAGGAUAACCGCUGAAGGCAUCUAAGCGGGAAGCCCCCUUCAAAACAAGGUCUCCCUUGAGAGCCGUGGAAGACCACCACGUCGAUAGGCCAGAGGUGUAA